rnacentral:rRNA from 1 species
CUCCUGGAAACGGGUGGUAAUGCCGGAUGCUCCAGUUGAUCGCAUGGUCUUCUGGGAAAGCUUUCGCGGUAUGGGAUGGGGUCGCGUCCUAUCAGCUUGACGGCGGGGUAACGGCCCACCGUGGCUUCGACGGGUAGCCGGCCUGAGAGGGCGACCGGCCACAUUGGGACUGAGAUACGGCCCAGACUCCUACGGGAGGCAGCAGUGGGGAAUAUUGCACAAUGGGCGCAAGCCUGAUGCAGCGACGCCGCGUGAGGGAUGGAGGCCUUCGGGUUGUAAACCUCUUUUAUCGGGGAGCAAGCGAGAGUGAGUUUACCCGUUGAAUAAGCACCGGCUAACUACGUGCCAGCAGCCGCGGUAAUACGUAGGGUGCAAGCGUUAUCCGGAAUUAUUGGGCGUAAAGGGCUCGUAGGCGGUUCGUCGCGUCCGGUGUGAAAGUCCAUCGCUUAACGGUGGAUCCGCGCCGGGUACGGGCGGGCUUGAGUGCGGUAGGGGAGACUGGAAUUCCCGGUGUAACGGUGGAAUGUGUAGAUAUCGAAAAAGAACACCAACCCGCUUUGGGAAA